AUAUGUAAUAUACAAAGACACAACGUAAAUUGCACAUUUCAAUUUCGUGUACCUAUUUAAUCCAAUGAAGACAUACCUACAGUAUAUAAAGAUAUAUUCAUACAGUUAAAUUAGAACACAUAGAACACAUACAUAACCCCCGCUGCCGUUAUUUUACGCUGACUCCGGGCUUCGCGGCUUCACAACCUCGAACGCAAAUAGAACAUGCAGAAAUGAGAGAUUCUUGUCAAAAAUCGAUUGUUUUAUCAUUUGGGCUAAGUUGAAAAAUUUAGCAGGGAGCGGUCGCCGUCGAUUAAAAUCUGUCUUGUGAUUGUGUGUGCCAGUGUUAGAGUAAUAGCACAAGUGUUUAAUCAGUGUAAUUUAACGUUAUAAAUGUUAUUUGAAUUUAAAAAUGUGAGGUUUAAAGAUUAUGGGUGCAUGUAUCGAGCGAGAGAGCGCGCAUGCGCGCGGCCGCUGCAUCUCCUGCCGCCGCGGCCAUUUUAUCGUGGGCCGCGCGUCGAAUUUCCCUUUUAACGUCUUCCACGACAAUUAAUCCUUUCUAGUACUUUUCUCAAAUAGAUUCCUAUGUUUCAUAGUUAUUUUACAAUUUAUAUUAGAUUUCACAAUCGAAUUCCUUCGGAUCUUUAAGAUCUAAAAUAUUUUACAGUUUACUAAUCAUCUAUAUAAAUUAACAUUUAUUGUUUAAUUUAAAGGCUUGUUUUAUUGUAAUAAUAUACUAAAUUAUAAAAGCUAUCCAAGUUUUGUCCCAUUGUACGACCACUCCCAGAUUAAGGAGUGGCAUAUUGCCAUGUCUAGACAGACUGCCCUAUGUGGGAUCUUUAUGUGGGUACAGUCGAGUAUUUUAAUAUAGGUAAUCACUAUUCAAUACAUAUAUAUCACUAUUGUAAUAUCAGUCAAUAUUAAGUACCUGUCCCUUUUAAAGUUAUUGUUACUCGUAUGUUUAGCUUUUUUAAUUAUUAGCCCCGAUAUGCUUAUAUCGAUAUUCGUACAUACGUUCACAUGUUUUAAAUAGUACUAAGUAUUUGACUUAAAUUAUUUGUAUAUAUUAAGUAAUAAAUAAUUCGUAUUUAUGAUAAAUAAAAUCGUUACACAUUUUACUGUGUCUAUUA